rnacentral:piRNA from 1 species
CUGAAACGCAGUUGGAAGUGCAUGGAC